GUCUGUCGGUUCCGGUGGCCUUCCAGAAGCCUGCUCCGGUCACCCUGUUAGGCCUUGUGCUGUUCCGAGAAGCAAAAGAUAGUUCACAAGGGGUUUAUAGAAGCUUACUUGGGAGAUCCCAUGGAUCAAACUUGUAGAUGUCUAGCUGCCUGAUAAGCUCAAUCGGAAGGGACUUCUGCUGGAUUUUUCUCUUGAGGUAGAACCUGACGAGCUCUUCAUCAGUUGGAUGAAACCUGAAGCCAGCACAUCCAUUGGUAUGGACUAGAUGCACACCUCUCUUGACUAUUUCACCUGCCCAACCAAUUCCAGCUUCAAGCAAAGGUUAGUCCUCAUCCUUUAUACUCC